UUCAGCUCACACGCAUAACACAUAGACAUGGCUGAAAAACAAAAAGCCCCAACCUCCAACCACCAGAGAUGACACCAUUGAAGAAGCUGCCGGAUAGUGUAGAAAAGCCACUGGAUCCGCUAGCUGUUUGCGUGGUGGUUACAAACCCAACCCUCCUUACUCAUCUUCCACUUCCACUAGUACAACUCGCUAGAGCCGCCGUUGUUUCAAAUGUAUUUUUGUGCUGUGCGGCUUUGUUUAAGCAUCUCUAGUGGUUGGAGGCUGGGACUUUUUGUUCAUCAGUCAUGUGCGGUGCGUGUGAGGCUGUGAGCUGAAGGUGAGUGAUUUAUUUAUUUAUGAAUUUGGUUUUUAAUAUGUGGUUAUGUGUUGCACACGUACGUAUUUCAUCGUUUAGUAAACUGAUGCUUUUUUUGGAUGAAUAAUAAUGCUGUUGACAUCGUGAUUUAUGACCUGA